GUUUUUCUUAAAAAUUACUUUAUCUCUUUAAUCUAUCUGAAUUCAUAUAUUAUUAAUCAUUCCUGAUUCUGGAACAUUUAUUUAACCUAAUGAUUAUGAGUUGUGCUCACAGUAACUUGGGAAAAAGAGAAUUAUUCCACAACCAUGGAUGUCUACUUUACAUACCCUAUAAAUUGUACAAUUAUCCUUCUUUUUUCACUCUUACUACUGAAACACGUAUGAACAAAUAAAAAUGUAAAUCAUUAAAAAUUUCAUCAAGUGAAAAAAAGGCAUUUACCUAAAAUACUAGUUUCAGCUUUCACAGUUUGACAUUGAUAGAUUUAUCAUUUUAUCCUACAGGUCACUGACCCAUAAACUCAAAAGCAAAGCAUUCUCAUAUUUUCCCAACCUUUUUGGCACCAUGCUGGUUUUCCAUACUGCAUUUUUCUUCCUUUUUCAUUGUCUAUUCUAUUAGAGCACUUUUAGGAGGUACAUAUGAAUCAUCAGACUCACUGCCUUUCCAUCGACAUUAUUAGUACUUCUUCUAGGUGUGAUGUGAUUGCUAAAGCUUUUCCAUGAACUGGUACAAAUGCCCAGUUUAUACAUUCUAUGUAACACAGAUCUGCUUUAAAAUAUUCACCCAGGAAAAGAGGCUUCAGAAGGACAUUGCAAUCUGCCUUCCUGCAAUCAGGAGGAAAUUCACUGUUAAAGAUCAAACUUGCAAAAUUCAAACACAAUAGGACACUGAAGUGGUAGCAUUAAAGUUGCACCCUACUGAGACUAGGUGGAGCAAGCUCUGAGCUCUGACAGUAAACUUAUGUUGACUUUGCUCCGAAUCCACAUUUUUAUUUCAUGAAUCAUCUGAUGUGAAUUCUCUUUCUCAUUUUACCCCAUUUAAAUUAAUAAGAAACCUUGCUGUGCUAUGCCUGAGGCCUAUUGUGUAUCAAUGUUCAAGGAAGCUGAACUCAUGAUUCUUUUAACUUAUUUUAUUUUAAAUUUAUAAUGGUUGAGGAUGUUACUGCUUAUUACCCUCUCUUUAUAGUUUUUAAAAGGUUUUUGUGAACAUUUCCCUGAAGAAUCAUCCUUUCAAGGAGAUGACGUCUUAUCUUCUCCAAUUGCAGGGUUUCCUGGAGUGCCUCAGUUGUCCCACUCUCUGUGUAGCUUAGAUGCAAUUUUCCCCUUGAUUUUCUUUAACUUGACCUCCAUCUACUUCCCCCCAGGAAGGCUUCAACCCCCUUCUAGCCAAUGAGUUGAUCAUUCAUUAGCUGGCUUACAUGUAUUGUCAUUCUUUCCAGUGUGUCGGACAUCUGACAUUAGCAUCUCUCACCAGCCUAAAUACUUCAUUCAUUAAGCUCUGUGUAUUGCCUACUUUACCUUCUCUUUUUUGGCUUAGCACAUUCUAGUCAUAAAUUAUAGCUACUAUAAUUUAAACAAGGCUUUAAUGGCCUAUCUCAACUCAUCACUUUGGGACAUUUUACCUGUUUAGAAUAUAGCACUGGCUCUUAGUGUAAGAAUGUCAGGUUACUGAGAUCUUAAAGAGUAGUGGGAAGAGUUUUUAUGCCAUUUUUAUAAAAUAUAAAUAUUAAAUGAAAAAAAUAAAUUUCAAUUCAGUAUCUACUAAUCCAAAAUUCUAAAUGCAAUGUUGUUAUUCUUAAAAAGUGGGAAAUUAAAAAAUUACUCCAUAUAAUAAGGCAUAGGAAUUUUUCAGAAAUGAAUAAAAUAUAGAGAGUGGAGAAGAGAUAUAUUAAAAGGAUCUCUUACUACCUUUUGAGAAUAUUUAUGUCAGUUUUGUUGAUCUCUAGAAUAAUUAAUGGCAUUUAGUUGUAUCCCAUAUUACAAACUCAGAUUAAGGACAUUUUCAUUUAUUGUCUAUGGUGUCUUCCUUGAGUUUUUUUUUUUUUUCUUAAUUCUUAUCUUUGUCCGAAGACUAAGGUUUUCUCACUAUAAAUGGUUUUUAUCCAAUCUUGGCAUGGAUGGCAAACAUUCUAAAAUUUUUACCACUGACUGAAAUAUUGGGGUACAUCAGGGACAAACAAAAAGGAAUUAUUAGAUAAUGCUAUUGAGUAGAGCAAGAGGACAAGCAUUGGCUUAAUUAAUUCAUCAGUAUGGUUGCUUGAGAUUAUGAGCUUGUGUGUGUUGGUAUGUGUAUGUGUAUGGAUAAAUGUAAGUGUGGUAGUGACUGACAUGAAAGAUAACAAAAGGCAAAACCUUUUAUAAUCAACCACUAACUGUGUCACCUGAGCGCUUAUAGAGCUUCUGCACAUCACAGAAGAUUUGAGGAAUGUAGGUUGACUCACUAUUUGUAAGCAUUAAGUUAAACAAAAGCACAAUGUCUAGAUCUGGACAAAACCAAAACAUUCAGAACUAAACAUUGAGAUACAGGAAAUGAUUUAUGCUGGGAAGAAACUUGGACUGUUUUAUCACCAAAUCCUGACAAAGCAGAUCAUUGUGCUAUAGAUUAUAAGGUAGAUCUUAGCAAAAUGAAUUAACUGGCUCAAUGUUUGUAAAUAACUAUAUUUUCAGAACACAUACAUGUUUUCAGCAACCUGACAAGUCAAGGAACUAGCUUAUGAACAAGAAAAAAUUUUCAAGGACUUUGGACCAUAAGAUUUUAUAAUGAAUGGUUUGUACAGCUAAUUUAAAAUAAGAAGGUCAAACAUAUAAGUUUUAUUUCUUUAUGUAAUUUCCUGACUAUUCUCCCAGGCCCAGACUAUCAUUUUAAGUCCUAAAUACCCUUUUCAUCUGGAUGGUGGUUUGCUAACACAACAUGUACCAAUGAUACUCACCAUUGCCAUCCCACAGUGUAUGCCUCUUGCUCCUGACAUCUUACUGGUGGUUUCCAAUAUUUGUAUUUAGUCAAGAAUCCCAAGACCUCUGAGUGCUCUUUGAUUUAUCUCUUUGCUUUUCCCAUAGCCAGUGAUUCAUCAGGGGCUGUCAAUUCCUUCUCCCUACUGUCUCAUACCACCCUUUGCUCUCGUACAUUACCCCAAUCCUAGUUAACAGUCUCAUUACUGCUUACCUAAACUACUGCUAUAACUCUUCCUCCUGCCUCUGGUCUUGCUUCUAAUCUACUCAUUGUGCAUUCAGCUGCCAAAUUAAUCUUUCUAAAGCACAGCUUUGAUUAUGUCACCUCUGCUCAAUGACCUUCAAAUUCCUCUUCUUUGCCUACCAAAUUGAGCUCUAACUUUCUAGCCUUUGACUUUAUGAUCCAGGCUUAGUUUUCUUGAGUUAGCAUUAAUAUUUUCCUCUUUUUGAAACUCUAGCUAAACUUAGCAAUUCAGCAUUCUACAAUCAAUCCUGGAAGCUUCUUUUUAUCAAUGGGUUUUGCAAUUAUUUUUUCUUACCUGGAAUGUUUUUAGUAUUUUUAGAGCUAUUUGCUAACAUUCUCCUUGAAGAUUGGCAGUUUUUGUUUUCAUUAAAAGAUUUCAACAACACUGGCUAAAGUGUCCCCCACAAGCGCACAGGAGGACUCAAACUCGUAGGGUAUGAUGAGGAGCAAGAGGUGGAGAAAGAAGGGAGAGGAUGGAGCAGUAGACAGUCAGAAGCCAGGGCCAAGGACAUUUGAGAAGUCUGAGAAUUCUAAAUUUGAAUCUGGUCUUUCAUAUCAUCAUGAAAUUAUAUUCAUCAAGAUAGAAUGAUGGGACACACUUUAAAUAAUUGCCCAAUUUCUAAACAUUUAGAUUCAGGAACAUGUAUGCCUCUACUUAAAUUCUUGCUGUGAAACACAUGAUUACUAGGAGCAAGUCUAUAUUUUAUCCAUGAAAACUAAUAAUUGACUACAUUGUCUGUAAUCUGCUAAGUCUUUAGUAUUUGUUGACUGUGGGGGAGCAGGGUGUUUCUUUGAAAUUCCAGGUAAUCUUUUUCCAUCUUUCUCUAAUGCUGAUCACAGACUCCUAUAAUUUCUUGCAUUUUAUAUGUAUGAAUAUGUUCACUAUAAUCUCUAUCAAGAGUUUGUAUAAUGAUGUAUAGACUGCAGUAAUUUAAUAGUAAUAGAGGUUAAAAUUUUGAUUACUGGAUAAAACAUAAAAACUCAGAGAAUACUUUAAAAGAGAUACAGAGACUCAUGGGAUUUAAGAGUUGUGAGAUAGUUUAGACAAAAGGAAACUGACUCAAGAAAAAUUAAUGACUUAUUUAGGGCUCAUGACUUCUAGUAUAUCAGGCUAGGAAGCUUUUUGAUUCCUUUCUUUCUAGUACAUGUGUAAGUUAUACAUUAAUCAGCAAGUAUCAUUAAGAUACAGUAUUAAUAUCCUGAGUAUUUAUAGCAAUAUUGCUUUCACUAAUACUGCAGUCAAUUUGUAAAGUGGAAUAAACUCAAGAUGCUAAUUCUAUAAACACUGAAACUUUCUAGAGGAGCCUACUUUGUUUAAAUCCAUAAUUGACACACACUGAAAAAUUAUCCAGGUGUAUACAAUGUUGACAUAUAGUUAAUCCAGAAGGUAGAGGGAUUAUGUUGCAGCAAUUUUCUUUGUAAAGAUUCAGUAGUAACAUCAUUCAGAACAACCAAUCUUAUAUGUGUUUGUAUAAGGCAUUACUGUGAACAAAUAUUGUCAGGUCAUAACUAAUUUCUACAGCAAUAAGCCAUUUGAAAAGGGUUUACAACCCUAAAAUAUGUUUAAACAUACAAAAUACAGAGUGUUCCCCCUUGGAGAUACCUGUAUCUAUAUUUAUCUGGAUCUAUAUUAUUUCCAUGUAUUACACAAUAGCUAUCAAAUACAAAGAGCAGGAAAACUAUUUAAAAUUGUAAUAGUCUCAAAGAAGAAUCUCAAUACUAUCACACUUGUUAAGUCAUUUCUUUAAUAAAAGACAAAGUACAGUUUUAUUUCCUCAUUUACAGCUGUUAUCUAGAGAAAAUCAGAUGAAAUUGUUUAUCACUGCAUGAAUACUACUUUUGCUGAGAAAAUAUUAGAAGUUGGUGGUGCCCGGGCAUGUGAUUGACCAUACAGAGGAAUUCAACAUUGAUCUUGGCCUCAUUGAUAAGUAUUCAAGUAUCAGAAUAUCAAAGAUUUCUUCAUAUGGCAGAUCUCAAAAAAGUUCAAGUUUAGAUGAAAAGUCUCAAAGUCCUGAUCUAUUGAAUUUCACUUUAAAAACAUUAGAUUAUUUUAUUAAGUAAUGGGUAAUAUAAUUAGACAUGAAUUAACUUCACAUACAAUAUGCCAUGAAAUAGAAAUUUAAAAAGUGGUAGAUAGUAAGUUGAACACAUAAUGAUAGCUGUACCUAUGAUUGAUGUAUCUAGAUAGCCUGUGUUUGAGUAUUUUCUCUUUUGCUAAGUAGAUAGUUUACUUUGUGUAAGUUUGUAACCUACACCAUUAUUUCUUACAUCCAUAUUUGUAAAGGGAUGCUAAUUGUAUUUAUCCUAUGGCGUUUUAUGAAGCUUGAAUUAAUGUAUUUAAAAUACUUCAAAGAAUGAGUGAUAUAGAAAAAGCUAAGUAACCAUUUUUAAAAUGUUAUUUGUCCCACUUCCUCCCCAUUAUUUUGCUUAGUAACUUCUUCAUAUGUAUUAUAUUUUAAUUUUUAAUAUAAUAUAAAUAAUUCAUAAUAUGCCUUUUAAACAAU
rnacentral:lncRNA from 1 species